UACAGAGGUCCCAAGCGUUGUUCGGAUUCACUGGGCGUAAAGGGUGCGUAGGUGGUGAGGUAAGUCGGAUGUGAAAUCUCCGAGCUCAACUCGGAAAUGGCAUUGGAAACUACCUUGCUUGAGGGUUGGAGGGGGGACUGGAAUACUUGGUGGUAGCAGUGAAAUGCGUAGAUAUCAAGUGGAACACCAGUGGCGAAGGCGAGUCCCUGGACAACUCCUGACACUGAGGCACGAAAGCUAGGGGGGAGCAAACAGG
rnacentral:rRNA from 1 species